UUCUGUUACUGCAGCCCCGCCGCAAGUGCUGCCCUCUGCUGGCAGAAAGCAGAACCUACAGCUCAAACAGUCUGCCGCUGACGCUGAAAUUCAGCUUCAUUCAUCUUCAGAGAACCCCCAAAGGAGAAUGAAUAACCUGGGGAACGUAUAUGCACUCUCACCACUGCAACGCAGGCAACAAACAGGACCUCAUCUUCCAACAAGACCCCAAACAAGUAAUCUUCCAGCAUCUCCUCACUGCUUUCCUC